rnacentral:rRNA from 1 species
ACGAAGGGGGCUAGCGUUGUUCGGAAUCACUGGGCGUAAAGCGCACGUAGGCGGAUGUGCCAGUCAGUGGUGAAAGCCCGGAGCUCAACUCCGGAAAUGCCAUUGAAACUGUAAGACUUGAGGAUGAGAUAGGUGAGUGGAAUUCCCAGUGUAGAGGUGAAAUUCGUAGAUAUUGGGAAGAACACCGGUGGCGAAGGCGGCUCACUGGCUCAUAUCUGACGCUCAGGCGCGACAGCGUGGGGAUCAAACAGGA